UACAGAGGGGGCAAGCGUUAUUCGGAAUUAUUGGGCGUAAAGGGCGCGUAGGCGGCCUGGCAAGUGACGGGUGAAAGCCCUCGGCUUAACCGAGGAACUGCCUGUCAGACUGUUAGGCUUGAGACCGGGAGAGGUGAGUGGAAUUCCCAGUGUAGCGGUGAAAUGCGUAGAUAUUGGGAGGAACACCAGUGGCGAAGGCGGCUCACUGGACUGGUAUUGACGCUGAGGUGCGAAAGCGUGGGGAGCAAACAGG
rnacentral:rRNA from 1 species